UUCCGGUUGAUCCUGCCGGACCCGACUGCUAUCAGAGUGGGACUAAGCCAUGCGAGUCGACGUAGUAAUGCGUGGCGAACGGCUCAGUAACACGUAGUCAACAUGCCCAGGGGACGUGGAUAACCUCGGGAAACUGAGAAUAAACCACGAUAGGUCACGAUUUCUGGAAUGGAUCAUGGCCUAAAUCUACAUGGCCCCUGGAUUGGACUGCGGCCGAUCAGGCUGUUGGUGAGGUAAUGGCCCACCAAACCUAUAACCGGUACGGGCUCUGAGAGGAGAAGCCCGGAGAUGGGCACUGAGACAAGGGCCCAGGCCCUAUGGGGCGCAGCAGGCGCGAAACCUCUGCAAUAGGCGAAAGCCUGACAGGGUUACUCUGAGUGAUUUCCGCUAAGGGGAUCUUUUGGCACCUCUAAAAAUGGUGCAGAAUAAGGGGUGGGCAAGUCUGGUGUCAGCCGCCGCGGUAAUACCAGCACCCCGAGUGGUCGGGACGAUUAUUGGGCCUAAAGCAUCCGUAGCCGGUUCUGCAAGUCUUCCGUUAAAUCCAGCCGCUCAACGGAUGGGCCGCGGAGGAUACUACAGGACUAGGAGGCGGGAGAGGCAAGCGGUACUCAGUGGGUAGGGGUAAAAUCCUUUGAUCCAUUGAAGACCACCAGUGGCGAAGGCGGCUUGCCAGAACGCGCUCGACGGUGAGGGAUGAAAGCUGGGGGAGCAAACCGGAUUAGAUACCCGGGUAGUCCCAG
rnacentral:rRNA from 1 species